GAUGCUGAAAUCACUGCACCUUAAAAACAAAAAGAUUAAGCUGCACUGCAUUCCUGACUUUCUGUGACUUCCAGUCUGCUUCUGUAUCCUGUUCAGAACUGGGUUUGGUACUUCCCAAAAAGACAAUCGUAAUUAAAGCAGUGGCUGGCAGUUUUCCUCAACUUUGCAAGAGAGAGAGGAUUGUUUGGAAUGAAACCUUGUUCUCCGUACAGUCUGCUUGAGAUGCAGCAUUGAAAGCUGAAGUUAUUCCGUGGUGGGAGAGAGGAAACUGAGGCAGGAAAUGAAUAGCUCAUACAAGGGAGCGAGCAUCAACCCAGAAAAAGGGAUCCCAAACUGAACGCUGACUUCCUGAAAUCAAAGGCCAAGCUGACUGCAGUGGGACCAGACUUUCCUGGAUAGCUCCAGACUCUUCAUCCGUUUUCUGUCCAUUUAACUUUCCUCCAAGUACUUACAGCUAAAGGACUGGGAGGAGCAGUUUCGCUAAGUAUACAGAAUGGUAGGAACGCCUUUGAAAGUUUGAAUUUGCAAAACUGGACUAGAAGUUAUUUAAGGACUCUCUUGGAUAUAGUAUUCUGGCACUUAAAAG
rnacentral:lncRNA from 1 species